GGAAAAGGAGCAAUCCGCUUUGAGAUGGCCUCGCGUCCGAUUAGCUAGUUGGUGAGGUAACGGCCCACCAAGGCGACGAUCGGUAGCCGGACUGAGAGGUUGAACGGCCACAUUGGGACUGAGACACGGCCCAGACUCCUACGGGAGGCAGCAGUGGGGAAUAUUGCACAAUGGGGGAAACCCUGAUGCAGCAACGCCGCGUGAAGGAAGACGGUUUUCGGAUUGUAAACUUCUGUUCUUAGUGAAGAUAGUGACGGUACCGUACAAGAAAGCCACGGCUAACUAC
rnacentral:rRNA from 1 species